AUACGGAGGAUGCGAGCGUUAUCCGGAUUUAUUGGGUUUAAAGGGUGCGUAGGUGGAGAGAUAAGUCAGUGGUGAAAUCCUGAUGCUUAACGUUAGGAUUGCCGUUGAAACUGUUUUUCUAGAGUGUGAUUGAGGCAGGCGGAAUGUGUGGUGUAGCGGUGAAAUGCAUAGAUAUCACGCAGAACUCCGAUUGCGAAGGCAGCUUGCCAAGCCACAACUGACACUGAAGCACGAAAGCGUGGGGAUCAAACAGGAUUAGAUACCCUGGUAGUCCACGCAGUAAACGAUGAUUACUAGGAGUUUGCGAUAGACAGUAAGCUCCCGAGCGAAAGCGUUAAGUAAUCCACCUGGGGAGUACGCCGGCAACGGUGAA
rnacentral:rRNA from 1 species